UACGAAGGGGGCUAGCGUUGCUCGGAAUUACUGGGCGUAAAGCGCACGUAGGCGGUCUUUUAAGUCGGGGGUGAAAUCCUGGAGCUCAACUCAGAACUGCCUUCGAUACUGGAAGACUCGAGUCCGGGAGAGGUGAGUGGAACUGCGAGUGUAGAGGUGAAAUUCGUAGAUAUUCGCAAGAGCACCAGUGGCGAAGGCGGCUCACUGGCCCGAUACUGACGUGAGGCACGAAAGCGUGGGGAGCAAACAGG
rnacentral:rRNA from 1 species